CUGGGUUCCUGGGUUCCGGGCCAGCUGGAUUUGGAACCAGUCGAGGCAUAGGGCGCUCCCAGGCAGACUGAUAGUGGAUCUACACGGGCUCCUUGAGCUCCCCUGCCGCCCUCCCCCCCGCCCGUUCUUCCUCUCCUUGGUCGUAGGGUAUGGAAACCUCUUUUAAACCUUCCUUGGGUCUGGCAGUUGACCAAGAGCCUGGAAGUGGUGGCCGCCUCAGUACUCGAUCACACUGGUCCCACAAGCCUGGAGAAUUGGGAGGGGUGGGAGUGAUGGAGGUGGUGGGCGGCGGAGGUGCCUUGCAAAGGGGCCCAGACUACAGCUUUUGUUGGCUCUAAACUCCGGGAGCUGGAACCCAGGACUCCACUCUCCAGAUCCCGGUGGAAGUAGCGGCAGGGACUGUGGCGCGGAACCCAAGUACUCUCUGGGUCAGGAUCUCGGACACAGCAGUGCCCAAAGGUAAACCUCUAAUGGAAACUCUAACACGGCCCGGGAGCUCCCAUUUGGAGGAGAAGAUCUGAAGGCCCACUUGCUGCAGAACCCAGCACAGAAACAUGUCUGGUGUCUGGAAAGAAGAUUUGAGUUAGAAUGUGGCCUCCCUCACUUAGCAGAUACAUGAUGGUGCCAGGUUAUUUAACUUCCUAGAGCCUCAUCUUCCUCUGUAACAGAGAGAUAAUAACUUUUUCAUAAAUUUUGUGGAGAGAAUUAAACUGAUAUACUAUUUGCAUAAUUAGAGUGCUCAGCUAUAAACUAUUUUUUUGAGAUGUGGUCUUCGCUAAGUUGCCCAGUGUUAUGGCUUGUGUCUAGAUGUCUCCCCACAGCCUCAUGAGGUCAUAGGGGGGGCUUUUUGGAGGUGGCUGGAUCCAGCAUGUGAGAUAAUGGGGCCUCACAAUCCCUGACUUUAAAUUAUACUACAAAGCUAUGGUGUUAAAAACAGUGUGGUACUGGCAAAAGAACAGACCUGAGGAUCAAUGGAACAGAUUAGAGGAUGCAGAAACAAUUCCAGACACACUCAGCCACCUUAUCUUUGACAAAGGAGGCAAACACCUUCACUGGAAGAAAGAGAGCCUCUUUAAUAAAUGGUGCUGGAAAAACUGGUUUUCCACAUGUUGAAGAUUGAAACUAGACCCAUAUCUUUCACCAUGCACUAACCUCAAAUAGAAAUGGAUCAGGCAGGGGAUUUAGCUCAGUGGUUCUGCCACCUGCCUUGCAAGGGCAAGGUCCGAAGUUUGAUCCCCAGGAGAAAAAAAUAAAAUAAAAUAAAAAGAAAUGGAUUAAAUAUUAAAACAGAAACACUAAACCUGGUGGAAGAGAGAAUAGGUAGAAUGCUUGAAGACAUAGGAGUGGGCAAAGACUUCAUAAACAAAACACAGACUGCAUGAGAAAUACUACAAAGAAUCAACUACUGGGACCUCAUCUUAUUAAAAAUCUUUGCACAGCAAGAGAAACCACCAACAGAGCAAAGAGACAACCCACAAUGUGGGAAAAUUUUUUACCAGGUAUUCAGAUAAAGGACUAUUAUCUAGAAUAUAUAAAGAACUCAAAAAAAUCAGACCCCCCAAAUUUAAAGACCCAAUCCAAAAAUGCGGAUCUGAAAUGAAAAGACAUUUCUCAGAUGAAGAAUUAGAGAUGGCAAAUAAAUACAUGAAAAAAAAUUCAACAUCACUGGCCAUUUGAGAGAUGCAAAUUAAAACAAUACUGAGAUUCCAUCUCACUCUAGAAAGAAUGGCUGCUAUCAAGAAAUCAACCAAUAACAAAUGCUGGUGGGGCUGUGGGGAAAAAAGAACCCUUCUCCACUGUUGGUCGGAGUGUAGACUGCUGCAACCACUGUGGAAAUCAGUGUGGAGAUUCCUCAAAAAACUAAACUAAAACUAGAGGUUCCAUUUGACCCAGCUACACCUCUUCUUGAUCUUCCUGAAAGAAUUAAAAGGAUUAUGCCACAGUGAUAUAUGCAUACUCAUGUUUAUAGGCGCACAGUUUGUAAUAGCUAAAUCUUGGAAACAGCCCAAAUGCCCAUCAACUGACCAGUGGAUAAAGAAGAUGUGUUUUUUUUUAAUGCAAUGGAGUACUACUCUGCCAUAAAGAAGGAUGAGCUUCAGACAUUUAUUAGCUAAGUGGAUGGACUUUUUUUUUCUUUUUGGUACUGGGGAUCAAACUUGGGACCUUUUGCUUGUGAGGCAGGUGGUGGCACCACUGAGCUAAAUCCCCAGCCCUAUAUGGAUGGACCUUGAGACCAUACUCUUAAGUGAAAUAAAUUGGACACAUAUGUUUAAAUAGUGCAUUGUUUCUCUGGUGUGAGAAACUGAAUGUUGACAUAAGGACAGAGAUGUAUAAUGGAUGCUGGGAAAUGGGAAGAAAGUGUUCAAAUGGGAAAGGGGAACAAGGGAGGAGGGAGGGAGAAAGGAAGGAAGGGACAAGAAAAAAAGUGAAAAUAGAAGGAAAAAAUGGAAACAAAGCUUUUG
rnacentral:lncRNA from 1 species